GAUAAUCUCGGAAAUUUCUCAUCUUUGAAUCAAUCCGGCAGUAAGAUCGGGAAUCCAAUGGGCGGCGGGCAACCGAUGAAAUCAUCAGCUGGCGGGCCGCCGAUGAAUGCUAAAAAGGACCCCUUUGGAUCAUUGAUGGACUUUGGAUCGAAUCCUUCUGCAAACCAACCGAUGUCAUCGGCCAAAUCCUCCAAAACCUCCAGCAGUGGUAAUGAUGAUUACUCUUUCGGGGCAUUCGAGAAUGUCAAUUC
rnacentral:lncRNA from 1 species